CUGAUCGGUGGUUUACAGGCUGUAUCGGUCAGAAGUAAACAGUUAUUCCAAUGUCAAUGCAGGUCGAAAAUACUCGGCUGGGUAUAAUCGCUUAGCACGGCAUCGAUUUCUAUUUGCAAGUUGAGCAUGCAACGUGUUCGAAUGUUUCGUAAACGUCACACGACGCCGAUCGCAUUCCGCGUAAAAUAAUAAUCGUCUCCACAACACAGAAUGGCGUUAAACGUACAUCGAUCGAAUGAAAACUGAAAGUGCGACAGAAGUAAACAGAAAUCGUGCUCAGCGGUCGCGGUCGGGCGAGUUUUGUUGCGCUCGUCGUCGGUCUAAACUGUAUGAAAUUUUUCGUUGCCGGUGUUUCGAUCGUUGCGCCGAGCUGCAGCAUGCAACCGAUGAUCAAUCGCACGAAAGAAAACAUAACUCCGAUAAAGGUAGACGCUCUUCAUUUGUUCCAAACUCACCCGGGUUUCAGUAUCGAAAUCGGUUUAGCGACGCGAUUCUAGAAUAUUCGCACCGCGUCGUUCGGUCAGCGAGUGUCGAAUCUCAGUUCACUUCAGACCGCGACCGGUUGAGGAUCUCUGAUCCGUUUCCUCGUUUGCUGUGAAACUAAUUUCGCAGAAUAAUCGAAGUACGUGUUACGAUAAUUGCAGUGGCAGUGUUUGUGAAGCGAAGCGAAGCGAAGUGAAGUGAAGUGCAGCAGAUGGAUCUCUCUGGAAUUUCCGAUCUUUUUCAAGUGCAUCACUUCACGUGUCAGCGUGCUCCUCGUCUUUCGAGCCUCAAUCGACUUGUGCUAAUGGGGUAAGGGUAACACGAAAUUGACCAGCAAUUUCACACAACGACAAUAUUACAUGUUAUACAGGUACGUAUAUAUAUAUAAUGUAAAUAAGAUUUACAAAAUAUUUAAGCACGAUGCAAAAUUACUUGAGAUAUUUA
rnacentral:lncRNA from 1 species